rnacentral:rRNA from 1 species
CCUACGGGUGGCAGCAGUAGGGAAUGUUGCGCAAUGGGGGAAACCCUGACGCAGCAACACCGCGUGAAUGGUAAGCACUUCGGGGUGUAAAGUUCUGUCAAUAGGGACGAAGGGUGACUGUACCUAUAAAGGAAGCACCGGCUAACUCCGUGCCAGCAGCCGCGGUAAUCCGGGGGGGGCAAGCGUUGGCCGGAAUCAUUGGGCGGAAAGCGUUCGUAGGCGGUAUGUCAAGUCUGAUGUUAAAGCCCGGGGCUCAACUCCGGUUCGGCAUUGGAUACUGGCAAACUAGAAUGUGGUAGAGGUAAGGGGAAUUCCUGGUGUAGCGGUGAAAUGCGUAGAUAUCAGGAGGAACAUCGGUGGCGAACGCGCUUUACUGGACCAUUAUUGACGCUGAGGCACGACAGCCCGGGGAGCAAAUAGGAUUAGAUACCCGGGUAGUC